rnacentral:lncRNA from 1 species
GAAACAUCUGGGGUCUUUCUAUUUCAUUGUCUUACAAUUAUUAGGCCUUGUGUAAACGCUCGCAGAUUGAAUGACGAAAUAAAAGAAGAAACUACAGCACAGGCUGCUCUGGAUGGAAAAUGCCCUGGGUUCUCCGAGACUUAACACCCCGCCUUGUGAACGCGAGCAAGAUUACUCUCUCCGAGCAGCUCUUUUCACAUGUGAUAAGCUUGGCAAGUUGCCCUGAGCUAACUACGCAUGAUUUGCUGACCUGUAAGCAGUGUGAAAUCCAAGCAUCUACACUCCGAGAUAAGGAUUGAAUUCUCACCCACUGUCUUCACCCAGCCCAACAGAGAAGAAGGCUCGUGACUG